GGCACCCAGCAUGGUGAAGAACCCUGCUGGCCAGCCCGAAGUGAAAGAGCUCAGCAGCAGGAUCAUCAAGUAUUUUUUCUGGGCUUUCCCAAAGUCCUAGUGGGCUGGCUCAUAAAUUCCUUCAGCAGAUUCCUUUUAUUCCUAGCCUUCCCCCCAGUCCCUUUGGGAGCAGCUGCUGCACAUGACAAUUUUGUCAAAGCCUGAGAAUGGCAGACAGCCACUGGCCAGCCCAGAGGAGCGCGUGGCCUCCGCCGCAGCACAUCUGGGUAAAAACAGCGUAAACCUGGUUGGGACGUCUGCAGUUCAACCAGCAGCCCCACCAAGGGCAGGAAGAGCUCGAGGGCCCUGCUCCUCCUGCAUUCUGCACCCCUCGGAUGGAGCCGCUCCAUUCCAAAGGCAAGUGGUAUACGAAGAACAUGUGCCGUGGCCUGCCUUCAGGUAUUCAUUGCCUCCUCUGCCUAGCUGAGCCCUGGCUGGCAUUAUGGGCACUGAGGAGAUAUGGGGGAGGACAAGCAGAAGGGUCAGGGAGGAUGUCAGGUUCAGGAUCUUUCCUUCUUUCUUUCUUUCUUUCUUUCUUUCUUUCUUUCUUUCUAGUAUAGGCAUUUGCAUAAAAAUCAUGUCAUGCUGAAAAGAAGGACUGUGUAUGUGAUGUCACCUCAGUGUAUGUGACUGGACGCACAAAAACCCAAGGUUCUCUGGUUGCAUAGGGUGGUAACAGCUGGCAUGCAAUCUCCUCAUGUGAACAUAAAAGCUCUCAUAGGUCAGGGCUCUGAAAGAGAAGAACCCUUUUACCAGCCAGGCCUUUUUGUCAAGACACAGAGGAAAAAAAUUGCUUUAUUCUAGUGGUUAAAUUACAGCACAUGAAAAUCACCACAAUAAAGCAUCGUCCUUAUCUUUACAGCCUGAGUCACCAAGAGGACCCAGUUUAGCCCUUCGGGAAGCUGCUGGUGGCACUGGAUUUUCGGCAGGGAUUCAUGUCACCCUGAAUGAGUAAACUGAGUCCUGCUGGUUGAGCUGCUCAACAAGUUAUCACCCACAACCUGCAUGGAGAACACAGGAAAUGUCCUAUGUAGGAGCAUGCUGAGAUAUGUUCCAGCUGGGCUGGCAGUGGCUGCUGCUCUUCCCCAGGAAGAAGAACUUCAGGUUGCAGCAGGAAGUGAACAGAGCCAGCAGAAAGCAUGGGGACAAUCAGGAGUAUGUGUAUCAGAGGACACCACACAUUACAGUGACAUCCCAGGUCACAUUCCAGCACCACGCUGCAUAACAAAUAGGAAACGUUCCUGUGUGCGUCCUGGUGCUUCGCAAGUCCCUGUGCCAGUGAGAGAGUGUGGUUAUCCAAAAACAGACAACCUCAGUGAUGUUGUGGAAGGAGGAGUGAAGUGAGUGAACUCAGAGAAGUUUGGAGGCUUGUCCCUAACCACGUGCCAGCUCUUUGGUGCCCCCGAGGCAGAACCAAGUCAGGAGUGCAGCCAGUCAUCCCUCAGACCGCUGCCAUGUGCUCAAGUCAAACUGCUACAGACUCCAAGAUGGUCUCCAGCACAGGAUUCCCAAACUGUGCUCAGCAGACCUAAGGCUAUGUGAGGAUGUUUGGCCUGAUGAACCAAUGUUCAUUUCCAUUUUUGAGGAAUGCAGCUGAUGAAAGUAAGAUAAAACUAAGAGGAAAAGAAAAUCUAAAGGAAGUUUAAAAAGCAUGCAUAUUUUUAUAACAAUUCUUCCAUACAUUAGUGGCUGUACCAGCAACAGAGGUAUAAUGUGAUCUGAGUUGAAAAGGAAUAGGACUUGACAUUGAGUGAGAAAAGAGGUCAUGGCAUGAUCUCUGUGUGGUGGUGUCAUCAAUAGUACUGAACAGACAGCAUGGUGAGCAGUGGGACUUGAGGUGGGACACCUUCCCUGCACGGGCUCUCUGCUGCCUGGCACCCAUACUGCCCUUUCCGUGUGGACUUCCUCAGCUGAGUGCUAAUUUGGACAUCUCUUGUAGUCAUUAAGUUGGAAAACAUAAACAUUGUUGGUGUCUCAAUCUCAUUAUAUUCAGCUGAAGCUGAUCUAUGGUUACAAAUGUUAGAGCGAGAUGAGGUGAGCCAGCUUUCUUCAAGAAGCCAAGAUAAAAGAGGUGAGACUGUCAGCCAACAAAAUUAGGGAAAGUUAAACUUCACUUAUCUCUCUGAUGAAAAGCAAGCACAAUAAAUCUUUCAGAAAGAAAAACAAAACAAUGGUGCUCUGUGUUGUUAAGCAUUUUACA